rnacentral:sRNA from 1 species
UGGUGGGACGUCCACCCUCUACCCCCCUCGAUUCCCGAGAAAUUCAAAGACGGGGCUAAAUACGGGCGUAUAUCAGCAUGGGGAUUCGGAGUUGUGCAAGAGAGCAACCGCAAUGAUCUUCCCAUCGGUAGUCUCGUGUACGGCUACCUGCCCAUUGGAACUCUGCCAGUCGACCUGGCCCUGUCACCGUCUACGGUUGUAGACGGCAAAUUUUCGUGAAACCAGCCCUCACAGGGCAAAGCAAUUCCCAAUAUACAACGAAUAUCUCACUUUCUCACCAGCCCAGGUAUCAGGCUUGUCGGAUAAGCGUCUUGCCUGGGAUGCCUUGCUAAAGCUACCUCUUUCACUAGCGCAUAGGCUCAACCACUACGUUUUCGCAUGGAAUGAAGUCCGAUUAGCACCACCAUCGACGUUGGUGCUCGGUCCAACUCCUCGUCCGCCAUGGACCAUGGAAGAGGCAAACAUCACAGAUGCGGUGGUAAUCAUCCUGGCUGCGUCUGGAAAGAACGCAGCGAUGUUCGCUCACCAGUUGAAGUUUACGCGACCAGCAGGGUCUCAGAUUGUCGCCGUCACGAGCCAGACGUCCCGGGCAUUUGUGGAAACUACAG